rnacentral:misc_RNA from 1 species
UGGAGGCAAUAUUGUUUUUCUUUUUAACAAACUGAAAGGCUCAUAAAUAAGCUAGAGGUGUUCGUUAAAAUUGGGUGGAAGAACUUUGAUGAGUUGCUUUUAAUUUUUGUAACGGUUCUUUAAAAACUUCAUUUUGGCUUAUUGGCGACCCGGUCAAAUCUAGUGUAUAGCAUAGAGAAUCGCUAAACCGGUGAGACCCGGUUCGUGCAAAACUACGUCGUUUUGGACAAAGAUUAAAGGAGAGAAAAUUGGAAGGAGCCCUAAAUCAAAUCUGCGGAUAGUCGCGAUUUCUUUCCCGUCUUUCCUUUAUCUACCUUGUCACUUCAUGAUUCACCGUCUCACCGAAUCCGGCAUCCUCAAGAUCCGGCUACGGCUGGACGUUGAAACUCCGGCGUUUUUUUCUUUGGGACCAAUGCCGCUUCUUUAUUUUUGUUAUUAAACCCUUUUCAAGUUCACCUGCAAUUUUUGGUUAGUUUUCAUGUAAUUUCAAGAACUUUUAUUGAGCUAAUUUUGACACAUCCUAAGAACAAGUACUUCAUCUGUUACAUUUAUGCUCUUCAACUCUCAGCCUCAGCCCAAUAUGUCUGUCUCCUAAUCACUAAUCCUUUCUUUUAUUACUUUGUGGAUAUAAAAAAAAUAAUAAAUAGAGAAAAUAAAAAGAAUAUAUGUAUUUUUCAUUAUAUGAGGAAAUAAAUAGAAAAAAUUUGCAGACCGGAUUUGAAAACCUGAUUGUGGAGUAUUGGAUUGGUGAGCAAUUAGUGUUGUGCCGUCGUGCCAAUUAUGAUGGGGUUCUUAAACUCAAUUUUUUCCGAGAUCAAGGAGAGGAGUGAGAGAUUAUAGGCAUGAAUCAUAUGGGUUUUGGAGAGGGUGGCGAUGGAAAGGUACAAGCGGUUUCGGGUUGGGGGUGCAUAAGAAUGUGGAGGGUGGGUAAUAUUAGGGGCUCAUUUGGCGCUUACCCAAUUUUCAAAUGUUAGUUGAAGAACCGAUUCCUGCCAACUCAGUAACAACUUUGAGAGCCCUACAACAAUACCUAUUCCAUCUAUUACAAAGUUGCAAAACCCUAAAAAAUCUAUCUCAAAUCCACACCCAAAUACUUAUUAAUGGCUUUUCCCAGAAAAAUUAUGUUGUUGCUAAGUUACUUUCAUUCUACAUAGCCUCUGGUCAUCUCCUCUCUGCACACGAAGUAUUCAAAAAUAUUAAAAACCCAAGUGUUACUCUAUGGAAUCAGAUGAUCAGAGGCCAUGCUCGAAGCGAAUCGCCUCAAAAGUCUGUUAUACUUUUCAAUCAAAUGAGAGUCGUAGCGGUGGAGCCUAAUGGGUUCACUUAUUCGUUCCUUUUGAGUGGUUGCGCUAGGUCAGGAUUGUUGAGAGAGGGCGAACAGGUGCAUGGAAGAGUUUUGGUGAAAGGUUAUUGCUCAAAUGUGUUUGUGCAGACGAAUUUGGUUAAUUUAUAUGCAAUGGCUGGUGCUGACUUUGGAGUUGGAUAUGCACGUCGUGUGUUUGAUGAUAUGGGUGAUAGAAAUGUUGUGAGUUGGAAUUCGAUGCUUGCAGGGUAUAUGAGGUGUGGGAAUGUUGAUGAGGCAAGGAGGGUUUUUGAUGAGAUGAUGGAGAGGAAUGUUGUCUCUUGGACGACUAUGAUUGCAGGGUACGCUCGAAAUGGUAAGAGUAGGAAGGCAUUGAACUUGUUCAGUGAAAUGAGGAGAGCCUGUGUAGAAUUGGACCAGGUGGCGUUGGUGGCAGCACUAUCAGCAUGUGCUGAACUGGGGGAUUUGAGAUUGGGCAGGCGGAUUCACUCGUAUAUUAAAGAGACAUUGAAUGGUAAAAACCGGUCCUUACUGAUUUCUUUGUACAAUGCACUUAUACACAUGUAUGCUAGCUGUGGUGUGAUUGAAGAAGCUUAUGAAGUAUUUAGAUGGAUGCCACAGAGAAGUAAGGUUUCUUGGACAACCAUGAUCAGUGCAUUUGCAAAACAGGGCUAUGGACAAGAGGCGCUUGCUAUUUUUCAAUUGAUGCAAAGCUUGGGAGCCGAAGGAGCAAGGCCUGAUGAGAUAACCUUCAUAGAAGUCCUAAGUGCUUGCAGCCAUGCUGGACUUGUGAAUGAGGGUCGCCAAUUCUUCAUAGACAUGAUUCAGACUUGGGGCAUUAAGCCCAGAAUGGAGCACUAUGGAUGCAUGGUUG